rnacentral:rRNA from 1 species
UUAAGUUAGAAAGGGCGCACGGUGGAUGCCUUGACACUAGGAGUCGAUGAAGGACGGGACUAACGCCGAUAUGCUUCGGGGAGCUGUAAGUAAGCUUUGAUCCGAAGAUUUCCGAAUGGGGAAACCCACCAUACGUAAUGGUAUGGUAUCCUUAUCUGAAUACAUAGGAUAAGGAAGACAGACCCAGGGAACUGAAACAUCUAAGUACCUGGAGGAAGAGAAAGCAAAUGCGAUUUCCUGAGUAGCGGCGAGCGAAACGGAACAUAGCCCAAACCAAGAGGCUUGCCUCUUGGGGUUGUAGGACAUUCUAUACGGAGUUACAAAGGAACGAGGUAGACGAAGCGACCUGGAAAGGUCCGUCGUAGAGGGUAACAACCCCGUAGUCGAAACUUCGUUCUCUCUUGAAUGUAUCCUGAGUACGGCGGAACACGUGAAAUUCCGUCGGAAUCUGGGAGGACCAUCUCCCAAGGCUAAAUACUCCCUAGUGAUCGAUAGUGAACCAGUACCGUGAGGGAAAGGUGAAAAGCACCCCGGAAGGGAGUGAAAGAGAUCCUGAAACCGUGUGCCUACAAAUAGUCAGAGCCCGUUAACGGGUGAUGGCGUGCCUUUUGUAGAAUGAACCGGCGAGUUACGAUCCCGUGCGAGGUUAAGCUGAAGAGGCGGAGCCGCAGCGAAAGCGAGUCUGAAUAGGGCGUUUAGUACGUGGUCGUAGACCCGAAACCAGGUGAUCUACCCAUGUCCAGGGUGAAGUUCAGGUAACACUGAAUGGAGGCCCGAACCCACGCACGUUGAAAAGUGCGGGGAUGAGGUGUGGGUAGCGGAGAAAUUCCAAUCGAACCUGGAGAUAGCUGGUUCUCCCCGAAAUAGCUUUAGGGCUAGCCUUAAGUGUAAGAGUCUUGGAGGUAGAGCACUGAUUGGACUAGGGGUCCUCAUCGGAUUACCGAAUUCAGUCAAACUCCGAAUGCCAAUGACUUAUCCUUAGGAGUCAGACUGCGAGUGAUAAGAUCCGUAGUCAAAAGGGAAACAGCCCAGACCGCCAGCUAAGGUCCCAAAGUGUGUAUUAAGUGGAAAAGGAUGUGGAGUUGCUUAGACAACUAGGAUGUUGGCUUAGAAGCAGCCACCAUUUAAAGAGUGCGUAAUAGCUCACUAGUCGAGUGACUCUGCGCCGAAAAUGUACCGGGGCUAAAUACACCACCGAAGCUGCGGAUUGAUACCAAUGGUAUCAGUGGUAGGGGAGCGUUCUAAGGACAGUGAAGUCAGACCGGAAGGACUGGUGGAGUGCUUAGAAGUGAGAAUGCCGGUAUGAGUAGCGAAAGACGGGUGAGAAUCCCGUCCACCGAAUGCCUAAGGUUUCCUGAGGAAGGCUCGUCCGCUCAGGGUUAGUCAGGACCUAAGCCGAGGCCGACAGGCGUAGGCGAUGGACAACAGGUUGAUAUUCCUGUACCACCUCUUUAUCGUUUGAGCAAUGGAGGGACGCAGAAGGAUAGAAGAAGCGUGCGAUUGGUUGUGCACGUCCAAGCAGUUAGGCUGAUAAGUAGGCAAAUCCGCUUAUCGUGAAGGCUGAGCUGUGAUGGGGAAGCUCCUUAUGGAGCGAAGUCUUUGAUUCCCCGCUGCCAAGAAAAGCUUCUAGCGAGAUAAAAGGUGCCUGUACCGCAAACCGACACAGGUAGGCGAGGAGAGAAUCCUAAGGUGUGCGAGAGAACUCUGGUUAAGGAACUCGGCAAAAUGACCCCGUAACUUCGGGAGAAGGGGUGCUUUCUUAACGGAAAGCCGCAGUGAAUAGGCCCAAGCGACUGUUUAGCAAAAACACAGCUCUCUGCGAAGCCGUAAGGCGAAGUAUGGGGGGUGACACCUGCCCGGUGCUGGAAGGUUAAGGAGAGGGGUUAGCGUAAGCGAAGCUCUGAACUGAAGCCCCAGUAAACGGCGGCCGUAACUAUAACGGUCCUAAGGUAGCGAAAUUCCUUGUCGGGUAAGUUCCGACCCGCACGAAAGGUGUAACGAUUUGGGCACUGUCUCAACCAGAGACUCGGUGAAAUUAUAGUACCUGUGAAGAUGCAGGUUACCCGCGACAGGACGGAAAGACCCCGUGGAGCUUUACUGUAGCCUGAUAUUGAAUUUUGGUACAGUUUGUACAGGAUAGGCGGGAGCCUUUGAAACCGGAGCGCUAGCUUCGGUGGAGGCGCUGGUGGGAUACCGCCCUGACUGUAUUGAAAUUCUAACCUACGGGUCUUAUCGACCCGGGAGACAGUGUCAGGUGGGCAGUUUGACUGGGGCGGUCGCCUCCUAAAGUGUAACGGAGGCGCCCAAAGGUUCCCUCAGAAUGGUUGGAAAUCAUUCGUAGAGUGCAAAGGCAUAAGGGAGCUUGACUGCGAGACCUACAAGUCGAGCAGGGACGAAAGUCGGGCUUAGUGAUCCGGUGGUUCCGCAUGGAAGGGCCAUCGCUCAACGGAUAAAAGCUACCCCGGGGAUAACAGGCUUAUCUCCCCCAAGAGUCCACAUCGACGGGGAGGUUUGGCACCUCGAUGUCGGCUCAUCGCAUCCUGGGGCUGUAGUCGGUCCCAAGGGUUGGGCUGUUCGCCCAUUAAAGCGGUACGCGAGCUGGGUUCAGAACGUCGUGAGACAGUUCGGUCCCUAUCCGUCGUGGGCGUAGGAAAUUUGAGAGGAGCUGUCCUUAGUACGAGAGGACCGGGAUGGACGCACCGCUGGUGUACCAGUUGUUCUGCCAAGGGCAUAGCUGGGUAGCUAUGUGCGGAAGGGAUAAGUGCUGAAAGCAUCUAAGCAUGAAGCCCCCCUCAAGAUGAGAUUUCCCAUAGCGUAAGCUAGUAAGAUCCCUGAAAGAUGAUCAGGUUGAUAGGUUCGAGGUGGAAGCAUGGUGACAUGUGGAGCUGACGAAUACUAAUAGAUCGAGGACUUAACCAU